rnacentral:rRNA from 1 species
AUUGAACGCUGGCGGCAGGCUUAACACAUGCAAGUCGAGCGGGGUGAUGGUGCUUGCACUAUCACUUAGCGGCGGACGGGUGAGUAAUGCUUAGGAAUCUGCCUAUUAGUGGGGGACAACAUCUCGAAAGGGAUGCUAAUACCGCAUACGUCCUACGGGAGAAAGCAGGGGAUCACUUGUGACCUUGCGCUAAUAGAUGAGCCUAAGUCGGAUUAGCUAGUUGGUGGGGUAAAGGCCUACCAAGGCGACGAUCUGUAGCGGGUCUGAGAGGAUGAUCCGCCACAAGGGGACUGAGACACGGCCCAGACUCCUACGGGAGGCAGCAGGGGGGAAUUUUGGACAAUGGAGGCAACCCGGAUCCAGCCAUGCCGCGUGAGUGAAGAAGGCCUUCGGGUUGUAAAGCUCUUUCGCGAGGGAAGAAAGCGCACUGGUUAAUACCUGGUGUGGAUGACGGUACCCUGAUAAGAAGCACCGGCUAACUACGUGCCAGCAGCCGCGGUAA